rnacentral:rRNA from 1 species
UGGGGAAUAUUGCACAAUGGGCGCAAGCCUGAUGCAGCCAUGCCGCGUGUAUGAAGAAGGCCUUCGGGUUGUAAAGUACUUUCAGCGGGGAGGAAGGUGUUGAGGUUAAUAACCUCAGCAAUUGACGUUACCCGCAGAAGAAGCACCGACUAACUCCGUGCCAGCAGCCGCGGUAAUACGGAGGGUGCAAGCGUUAAUCGGAAUUACUGGGUGUAAAGCGCACGCAGGCGGUCUGUCAAGUCGGAUGUGAAAUCCCCGGGCUCAACCUGGGAACUGCAUUCGAAACUGGCAGGCUAGAGUCUUGUAGAGGGGGGUAGAAUUCCAGGUGUAGCGGUGAAAUGCGUAGAGAUCUGGAGGAAUACCGGUGGCGAAGGCGGCCCCCUGGACAAAGACUGACGCUCAGGUGCGAAAGCGUGGGGAGCAAACA